GGAGUCUGUGUUUCCUGAUGGGUAUAACCUGGGUGUCUUCAAGGCCCGAGUGAAUAGGUUGCUUAUGGGCAGACGUGCUCCAUCGUAGGCCGCAUCAUCACUUACCAUCAGGCGAGAUAGCGGCCAAACGUCGACCCAUCAAAUGUAAAAAAAAAAUACGAAA